GGGAACGGAAUAUUGACCGUCAUUAUGCGUUUGCAGUUCGUUCGAAGAUGUUCAAUAAGAACACCCGUAUUUGCACUAGG